UACAGAGGUCCCAAGCGUUGUUCGGAUUCAUUGGGCGUAAAGGGUGCGUAGGAGGGCAGGUAAGUCAGUGGUGAAAUCUCCAAGCUUAACUUGGAAACUGCCGUUGAUACUAUCUGUCUUGAAUAUUGUGGAGGUGAGCGGAAUAUGUCAUGUAGCGGUGAAAUGCUUAGAUAUGACAUAGAACACCAAUUGCGAAGGCAGCUCACUACACAAUCAUUGACUCUGAGGCACGAAAGCGUGGGGAUCAAACAGG
rnacentral:rRNA from 1 species